UACGUAGGGAGCAAGCGUUGUUCGGAUUUACUGGGCGUAAAGGGCGCGUAGGCGGCAUAUUAAGUCAGCUGUGAAAUCUCCGGGCUUAACUCGGAACGGUCAACUGAUACUGCGCGGCUAGAGUGCAGAAGGGGCAACUGGAAUUCUCGGUGUAGCGGUGAAAUGCGUAGAUAUCGAGAGGAACACCUGCGGCGAAGGCGGGUUGCUGGGCUGACACUGACGCUGAUGCGCGAAAGCCAGGGGAGCGAACGGG
rnacentral:rRNA from 1 species